rnacentral:rRNA from 1 species
CUACGGGUUGCUGCAGUAAGGAAUCGUGCGCAAUGGGUGAAAGCCUGACGCCGCGACGUCGCGUGAAGGAAGAAGCUUUUCGGAGUGUAAACUUCUUUUCUGUAGGAAGAUUAUGACUGUACUACAGGAAUAAGCCACGGCUAACUUCGUGCCAGCAGCCGCGGUAAUACGAGGGUGGCAAGCGUUAUCCGGAUUUAUUGGGCGUAAAGAGCGCGUAGGCGGUUUUAUAAGUCUCAACUUAAAUCUCACCGCUCAACGGUGAACAUUGUUGAGAUACUGUAAAACUAGUGGGUAGCAGGGGUAAGCGGAAUUCCCGGUGUAGGAGUAAAAUCCAUUGAUAUCGGGAGGAACACCAAUGGCGAAGGCAGCUUACUAGGUUACUUCAGACGCUGAGGCGCGAAAGCGUGGGGAGCGAACGGGAUUAGAUACCCCGGUAGUC